rnacentral:rRNA from 1 species
AACGAACGCUGGCGGCAGGCCUAACACAUGCAAGUCGAGCGCGCCCUUCGGGGUGAGCGGCGGACGGGUGAGUAACGCGUGGGAACGUGCCCUUUUCUACGGAAUAGCCUCGGGAAACUGAGAGUAAUACCGCAUACGCCCAUUGGGGGAAAGAUCUAUCGGAAAAGGAUCGGCCCGCGUUGGCUUCGGUGGUUGGUGGGGUAAUGGCCUACCAAGCGGACGAUCCAUAGCUGGUUGGGGAGGAUGCUCGGCCACGCUGGGACUGAGACACGGCCCAGACUCCUACGGGAGGCAGCAGUAGGGAAUCUUAGGCAAUGGGGGCAACUCUGAUCUAGCCAUGCCGCGUGAGUGAUGAAGGCCUUAGGGUUGUGAAGCUCUUUGAGCUGGGAAGAUAAUGACGGUACCAGCAGAAGAAGCCCCGGCUAACUCCGUG